GGCCUUUAAAGGAACAACUUUAAUCCUGUUUGCCUGUAGAAUCUUGGACAUAGUAAGGUCAUGAUGUAGGACCGGUAGAUGUUUAUAAAUAAUAUUUCUAAUUUCCGCAAACUGAUUGGAAAAUGAGCCUUGGGAGCCGGAACUUCCUUUUCUCCUUCCUGAUUGCUUCACCUCAGGACUUGGCCUCAGAGACUAUCCGAAGCUCUCGCUGGUGCAGGUGUAUUGUGCUACUUUCCAUAUACCUUGGAGACGACUGGGGCCCUUGUGAGGAGAAUAGGAGUUAGUCUGUAUAGACACCUAAGACGCACUGCUACCAUUGGAUUGCUACGCUCCAAAUAAGGUUCCAGUUUGCUCCACCGCUCUGGCAGACUCAAUCUAGGAUUGUGAUUUAGUGCUUACCAGCCGCACUCUUGUGAUGUCAGACACCGCUCCUGUCCUCGCCAGCCACGAUCCUGGAAUACGAGUGAUACAGGUCUCACCGCCAACUGCUCACCUCUCGCAGACUCUGCCAAGCCUGCACCAACUAGAGGUCCCGCAGAGGUACAGAGUACCAGCUGCUUCUCAGAGUACAGAGUACCAGCUGCUUCUCCGCAUGUGAGCAUUUGUUCGGCUCCUGCCAUCUAUUUAAUUAUUGUGCCAGCAACUAUUGCCCCAUCAAGGACUGUUGCCUUAAUCAGAACUGGUUACGAAGAUUUUUUUGGCAUUUGGCACAAUAAUAA